AGGUACACAUGAUGGUCACUCAGAGCCUUAUACACAGCAGCCAGGACCUGAGGAUCAGAGGAGGUUUACUAAGGGCUGAUUCCUGCCUCUUUAACUGCUCUAUGUUCUCUGACUAGAGGUGGGUGGGCAUGACUGUGAGGGUCAGUACAGGCUCAGACUCACAGGUCUGUUCUAGGAU